GGCAGGCCCGGCCGCGAUGCCGCCGGAGGGGAGAGGGGGAGCGGAGCAGGACCGAGCCGCGCCGGAGCUGGGGGAAAAGCCUGCGGUGUGCGGGGGAAUGCUUGGCGCCCGGCGACGUCCUUCAAGCAAAGCUCCUGUGACGUGCUUGGGUGGCAUUUCAAGCCCUCCUGUGUAACAUACUGUACUGAGCCCUGUAAAUAGAAGAGCCCUGAUGACAGAGUGCUUACAUAAAUACUUAGGUUCUGCACAACAGGGUCUGGCUCCGAGCAAGGAGAAACUGUUACGUCUGAUUAAAACGCUCUGUAUUUAGAUGAUGACCAAACUAAAUCAUUCAGUAACUGGGAUACUGAAACUAUGACCACCAGGUUAUGGACCAUACAUUGAGCAACAAUGGUGUAAGAAUAAAGCCAAUUGCAUGAGGAAAGGAUAACCUGGGGCCAAAUGUACCUGCUGGAUACAGUGACAGAGGCUUUGGAUUCCUGGAUGAAAUCUCACACAAAUUGCUCUUUAAAAAAAUGGAGGGGUCAACUGCUCAAGAAGAGUAAGGAACAAAAUGGCUGGAAGGAAAAGAGAAAUUGUUAAACAACAACAAACCAAACCAAAAAAAGAAAAAAUAAUCACAACCUACACAUGUCUAAAGAUCAUUGCUCUCCAUAAUUAGGAAAAAAAUGAAUUGCCAGCUACUGAAAUUGCAGAGAUUUAAGCUUUCUUUUUUAAGAAAGAUUCAGUGGGCAAUUGAAGUUGGAGGGGGGAGGCUAAGGGGUCUCAGUCACAAUAGGCCACCCAAAAUUCAUCAUUAGUUUCAUCAAGAGUCUGUAAAAUGCAAGAAUCUGUAAAAUAGAUGACCUGAAAAUACAUACCAGGCUGCGUGUCUAAAGACUAAGUCAUGAAAUGACUGACUGGCAUCUGGCAGAAUUAAAAUCUGCAGAAAGAAAAAGGCAAGGAGAUUGUCCUGGAUAGGAAAUCCAAGUGAAAGAACUCACAGCAAGUGAGAGAAUUUCCAGAGGGUCAGUUUACUGUGCCCGUCCAGACUGAUGCUGGGGAAAGGAGAGAGAAACAAGGACACCGAGUAAAUACUGAGCAGGUCAGAAUUUCAUCAGGACAAGCACAAUUUGGGAAAACUUAAAUCAGGAAGAAGAAAAAAUGGCAAUGUGCUAGAGGCAGUUUUUCCUUGAGAAGCUCUCACUCCUAAAGAAGAAAGCAAAAAGGUUCAUAGCAAUACUAAUAUAUGCCAAACUUUCUCCAAUAAUUACAUGAAAAGGAUUAUUCUGGACACUUUUUUAAUACACUAAAUUACAAGAAUUGAGCUAUAAUUAGAGUUCAAAAGAAGUAGCUUGUCCUGUGGUAGAUGGCAGUUUGUAGAACAUUAAGCAGAAGGGCAUAGAGGGGAGAGCUGCAGGAUGAGCAUGGAAGGAAAAGACAGUUUACAGACUAUGGGAAAUAUAGAGGCCUGCAAAAUAAAAGAACAUCAAAGAAAAUGCAUAAAAUAAAGGGAGGCACUAACUCCUACAAGAAACAUUCUCCAAUUUGUUGCUUGGGGAUAUCCUGAGAAGGAAAUUAGGUAUUUUUCCUGAACUGCAAGUUGCUUUUUGAACAGCCAUGAGCAUUUAAUGUCCACAAAAUCAUGCAGAAGGGAGUUCUACUGCUUAAUUACAUUGUGUGAGUGAAGGUAGUUCUUUGAACAUUCAUGUGUUUUAUUUAGAAUUUUUUUCAUUAAAAAGAUGGUGAAAAAUUAUUCCCUACUCAGCACCAUUGCUGCUUAUGAUUUUAAUUAGACUGCUUUGUCCACCUGAGCAGGAAUCUUCACUUGGGAAAAGAGCUCUAGUUAAUUGUUCCUCCCGUGGGAGUACUUUUGUAUCUUUGUCCACCUUUGUUCUCUUUGUCCUUUUCCAGCUCUACUGUAUCCUCUGUUUUGUGUGGUAGGAAGAGGCUGCAGCAAACGGAACAAAACUGUUCAACAAAAUAGCAUGUGAAAUGCUAUUUAUUAGUAGCACUGGUGACUUCGAAAUCCAAGGACCCUGUCUCUGCUCUUGAUUUGAUGUUUGAAUCUGGGGAAGAUCCAUUACCUGACAGCACCUUUCCCAUCACACUGUGGCUGCUAGAUAGUGUCUGGGAUGGAGUUCCUGCCUUUUGCAGGAAAAGGACAGACAGAUUAACAGCAGGAAAGAUUCCGCCAAGCUGUAACACAGGGACAUUUUGUCCUCCUUCAAGAUAUGAGUCAAGACUACAAGCCUGUGUUCUUUUUUAAACUAUUUUGAAGUAAUGUUUUUUUUGGUCAUCAAGUACAAUUUUACUUUAUUUGAGAAAUCUAGUACUUCUCUACAUCAAUUUUUACAUGUGGCUGAGGGGUAGAGGUUCCGCUGUCUCCAGAGAUGAUCACACUGGAUAGUCGACUGUGUCAAGACCUGGUCUGAAGUUAUCAACUGAGACCCAUUACAGUGCACACUCCCCCAGGAGUCCAGCAACAUUACAAAUGUCCAAGUUUUCAAUUCUAUUUAAAUUUUUGCAUGUAUUUUACCACUAUGGAUAUAUAAAUACCAUGAUGUUGAUUAUCCAAUAUGGAUUCAGCUAAGAAUUCUGGAAUUCUUUCAGGAAAAGACUGACUACCUGAGAAAGAAGCAAGAAUCAAGCUUGAAGCUUACUGACCAGUCAACACUUUGCAAGUAUUCUUUUCUUGGAUAGAAAUGACCACCUAAAUCACUCAGAACAUCGGAAAAAAAAAAACCCCCAAAUCCAAAUGUUUUUCAGAUUAGUAUGCCAUUAAAAAAAAUGCAAUGUAUCAUUUAUCAUGCGAUUCCCACACUAAGAUUGCUUCUAUGCAAAACCAGGUUGCAAACCACACACACAAAAAAGGAAAAAACACAUUUUUUAAAUCAAAUGGAUUUAAGACCUUCCAGAGUCUUCCUAACUUUAACCAGAGAUCUAUCUCACUGGAGUUAACCUUGUAUUGGAACUGUUUUUCAAGAAGCUUCUCAGAUUAUGCCCUAACCUUAUGAAAACUUAAUGGAGCAAAGCAGCACAUAUUACUCAACUACAUUAAGCCAGUUUCCUUUGUAUUCCCUGUUAAAGCUUAAAACAACCUGAAACUUGUGAUACCCUCAGUAUUUUCAGAGAAAAGCUGUGCCAGUUCACCUUUAUAUUCAAGUCUAGUCUUCUGUUCGCAUAAAAUCUGCAACAUACUUUUUCACUUGCAAAUUUUGCAAAAUUUGAAGAAACGUACAUGCUAUAGUUUUCCUCAGAGCAGCUUUUAAGUAUCACACUAUUUAAAAGCAUGUAUAAGCCACCUACACUUGUACAGAAAUGUUAAUCUCAAUAAAGUAGUCUAGUGGCACUGCCCUUUAACGUCAAUGUUACAACUGUGCUUGCUAGUGAAAGUACUAAUCAUAAAUACAAACUUCUUGUGAGAAUCACUGCUGUCUUCUGCUAAAAUAUCAAUUUAAGCAUAUAUACAAAAUACAAAGAUUCUGAUGACAACAGUGCAUGCAGAAACAGGUUAGCCCCUCAGAAAAGCCAUUUGCACUGGAAGAGUAACACUUCCUUGCAUUAUUUGAUGAAUCCCUUUGGCUAGGGUUUUGAACGGGAAAAGUCCGUUAGCAGCCACGUCAGUCUAUGCAGGGAGUAGGUAUGUGGUAGCUUAAAUGCAGUAGUACUAAAGAUUAAAAUCACCUUCCAACUGUGAUGCAUCUAUAUUAUGAAAAGUGGAAUUUGUUUUUUUGGGGACUAGCUCUCACCAAUGAUUUAUAAUACACAGCUUUAUGGACAGCAAUGUUCAAGCUUGUAACCAUAAAGCAUGCUAAAAUGACAUUUAGAAAAAAAUAAAAACUGCUAAUGUAAUAACGGGGUAUCUAUGAAAUAGGCUUUGUUGAAUUCUUAUAGAGGAAGCUUUUUUUUUUUUAAUCCCCAAAUGGCUACAUUUUGUAACUAUUGUUUUUAAAUAACCACUGCUAGUGACAGAAUUAGGUGCAUUCUUCAUACCACUAAAGAGAGGGAAAAAAAAUCUCAAAAGUGUUAUUCAACAUAGGAGUCCGAUACUAGAAAUGCUGCAACCGGUACCAGAAACUGAGUACCUGAUUAUCAUCCAGGUCCUGACUCUUUCCAUGACCAAUUGUGUAAUCCCUUUAAUUACUCUGAUUGCUAAUCUGUCAGCAAAAUAAAACAAAAUACCAACUAAGUAUCUAUGAAGCAUUUUUGAGAUUUUUUUUUUUUUAUUUAAAGUACUAAACAGAUUAAACCCUAUCAAGUUACACUCAGUUCACUUCAUAUUGAAGUGGACACAAAAAAGUUGAAGAUUUAAAAACCUACAACCUUCCUGAUUUUCCUCAUGGCUGCAGAUGAAGAGUCAAUUAAACGGGAUACUGAAGCUGGAUUUUAGGCACUGGAAGUCAUUUAUGUGCUAGAAUGUCUAUUUUUACUUACAGUUGUCUUCUCUGAAGUCAAAUGGCAUAAGCAAUUCUACUGGCUAUAUAGUAAAACUGAGAACGUACUUCAUAACUUUCUUAAUGCAAGGAAAAUAAACAGUAGCAUUCAAGGUCUGGUCUUCUACAUGCUAGUGACCGAAACCAGAAAAAUUAAAAUGAGAAAAAUAAAAUUGUACAAUAAAAACUUGAGGGCUGCUUUAGUUGGGGACUUGGUGGCAAAACAAAUGAAGCUAAAUAUUUUGGCUCAUAAAUAAAGGAGGAGGGCAUAACAGAUCACAAAUUAAACAGUAUUGGAAUAUCAAAAUUGAGGCAUAUAAUUGAAGUCUAAUGAAUGUGCGAGGAAGCUCAGACAAUGACCAUAUUAAAUUAUUUUCAUACUGCAGGCAACUAGUGAGCCCAUACUAGGAUUUUGUCCCCAGUUCUCAUUUUCUUAGGUACAGGAAUAUUUGUGGGCAAUAGUAUGUCACAUUUACUCUAUAAACAGAAGGAAACUUGAUUUCUAAUGCUGUUGGUUUUACCUGAAUGACUGUCAGAAAAUGAGUAUUGGCUUUGGAGCAGACAGUAAGUUUUAUGAGCACACAGGAAUGAAACAAUCCUUGGAGCCACAUUAUAUUUUGUGACAAAACAACAGUUUAACUCUUCAAACACUCUAGUUGUAUUUACUUACCUAUCUACCAUUACCAUGGUUUCUACUCUGUCACAGAUGUUAUUUCAGAUUUUUUUUUUUUUUGGUAGGCUUUUGCUAUGUACCUGGAAGUCUGAUAGUCUACAGAAGCUUUCACAAAGAUAGCUUUAAAUAGUGAAUAUAACCAAAUGUUCCCAGAUGAGUUCAGCUAUGCAGCAUCCACUUGAGAGCUGGCCAUUUUAAAAUGAGUAAGUUUGCAGAAAAGUCUACUAACCACUCAUCUCUUGGCAAGAGAAAGGAAUCAUUACAUGAAACUGUCACCCCUCUCCAAAUUCCAAGCAAGCUAACGAGCUAGUCCUAGUGGCACUUUUCAACAUACAUAUCUACUGUAAUAAUCAAGGUAAAGCAGCAAAAAAGACUCCUUCUACUGUAAUAAUCAAGGUAAAGCAGCAAAAAAGACUCCUUCAUCUGUGGAUUUUUUUUUUUAAGAAAAGUAUAAUUAAACACUUGCACAGUUCUGAUCAGAUGGCUGUGUGAAAACCGGUCUCCCAGAAAAUAGUUUAACAUCAGAGUUUCUAGGAAGCUUUAUGUCUGUAUGCAUUACAAUGCUGUAAAGUAACAAUUAAUAAUUUAUCCUUCUCCGCCCGCUAUCCAUACUAAGAAUCAAGAAAUCUUCAGCUAGACCUUCUUGCCUAUUACCACAUUUCAUUUUAAACUGACAAACAGCCUUAGUGACAAAGUACAAGCUAGUGUUCCCUCUACCCAAUUAACACAACCAGCUAUUCCAGCAAAGGGACACAACGCGAUGGCACUGGGGUGAAUUCAGCAAGACACUCGGUGAAGAUAGACUAUUGAGCCUGUCAUUGCCAGUCACAAAGUUAGGAUUCACAGGCUUUAAGCUAUGAACACAGACUCAAGCUCCAGCUUAGCUGAUUUCAGUUCUCAGAACAAUACACUGUAGAGUUUAUUCAUCUUCCUGAUUACCUACUUUGAAUACUUGCUACUCCAUUUUAAACAAUUAAAUUUUUCCACUAAAUUUUCACUAAUGCAAGUGAGGAAAUAACACUCCUAUUUUCAUGGAAUGUAUCAACUUGAGCGCAUGCUAUUUAAAAAAAAAAGGUUAAAAUGUGUUUAUGCCCUUGUCGAAAAGUCUCCUCUGACUGAUUUACGGAAGCACCAACAGAACUGCCAGGCUGAACACAGGAAGCUUCUGUAAGAAUUAUCAAAAGCACAAGGAGAAAGAAGUUGCAGCCGUGAAUAACAUUUCUAUCCUGAAAUACUAAGCUUGGAAUACUACCUUCAGAGGAAGCUAAGUUUAUUUUAGAUUUUAUCACAGCCCCACCCCUGCCAGGAACAACUAUUCCUUAUUUUAGAUUUUAGGACAAGACUUAGUUUAAGAGUUGUAUGAUGCAAAAAUUCAAAAGUUGGUCUUAAUAUAGCUGUAAUAGCCUUCCUCCAAACACUAAAACCAAAGACUUGAACUCUGGGUCAUAACAAUGCUUUUUUUUUUUUGGGGGGGGGGGGGGGGGGGGUCACGGUUUUAUGUCCUGCAUGAAAUGCCAUUAAACAACAAAAAUGAAUGUUAAAACAAAAGUAUAAUUUAAAAAGCUGUGUAUUGGAGUGUUUAUAAACCAGAAGUGUUAAGCAGCAGAAGUUCCCAAUUUCUUAUUAAAUUCAACUAGUCUUCAAAUUUAGGAAUGCAUUACAAACCAAUGUGGAACUAUGUCCUAGCUUACGCUCAAUCCUUUGCAGGUAUGUCAGCAGGGAAAUCCUACUAUGCAAAUAAUCACAGGCAGCAUAAUACAUUUAGUCAACAUUUGCCUUCAGCAUGCCAAAAGAAUUGUGCAUUGUAUGUUCAUUUGUCACCAAAGCACUCCAUAAGAGAUGCAUUAUUGCUGUAAAACAUUUCAAGUUUACCAACACCCAGUGCAACCAAACUGAUGUUGUAUAUAUGCACUUGCCCAUUCUCAUCAAUAUUUCCAUACUUAAUAUUGAAGAGUUUUUUUCUUUACAAAACCAAAUUUAAAGCUUUGAAAGUAACAUUUUUUCAUUUUUUUGUUUUUUCCCCCACAACAUUAAUCACCACAUGCAAUUUCGUUUUCUGAUCAAUUGCUAAAAAACUGCACCAAUAUCAGAACAGUGCAAAUCAUAUUUAAUUUUAAAAGUUAUAAUGGCUUGAGUUCAUAAUUAGAGGGAACACUGUCAAGAUCUUGGUAUUUUGCUCACUCACCAUUGCUUGCAACCCAUUAAAAACAAAGUUUCCUGUCAAUUUUUGACAUUUUUUUCCUACAGUCCCCCAUGCUUUUUUUUUUUUUUUUUUU